UUAAGUUAUUAAGGGCGCACGGUGGAUGCCUUGGCACUAGAAGCCGAUGAAGGACGUUACUAACGACGAUAUGCUUUGGGGAGCUGUAAGUAAGCUUUGAUCCAGAGAUUUCCGAAUGGGGAAACCCAGCAUGAGUUAUGUCAUGUUAUCGAUAUGUGAAUACAUAGCAUAUCAGAAGGCACACCCGGAGAACUGAAACAUCUUAGUACCCGGAGGAAGAGAAAGAAAAUUCGAUUCCCUUAGUAGCGGCGAGCGAAACGGGAAGAGCCCAAACCAACAAGCUUGCUUGUUGGGGUUGUAGGACACUCUAUACGGAGUUACAAAGGACGACAUUAGACGAAUCAUCUGGAAAGAUGAAUCAAAGAAGGUAAUAAUCCUGUAGUCGAAAAUGUUGUCUCUCUUGAGUGGAUCCUGAGUACGACGGAGCACGUGAAAUUCCGUCGGAAUCUGGGAGGACCAUCUCCUAAGGCUAAAUACUCUCUAGUGACCGAUAGUGAACCAGUACCGUGAGGGAAAGGUGAAAAGCACCCCGGAAGGGGAGUGAAAUAGAACCUGAAACCGUGUGCUUACAAGUAGUCAGAGCCCGUUAAUGGGUGAUGGCGUGCCUUUUGUAGAAUGAACCGGCGAGUUACGAUUUGAUGCAAGGUUAAGCAGUAAAUGUGGAGCCGUAGCGAAAGCGAGUCUGAAUAGGGCGUUUAGUAUUUGGUCGUAGACCCGAAACCAGGUGAUCUACCCUUGGUCAGGUUGAAGUUCAGGUAACACUGAAUGGAGGACCGAACCGACUUACGUUGAAAAGUGAGCGGAUGAACUGAGGGUAGCGGAGAAAUUCCAAUCGAACCUGGAGAUAGCUGGUUCUCUCCGAAAUAGCUUUAGGGCUAGCCUCAAGUGAUGAUUAUUGGAGGUAGAGCACUGUUUGGACGAGGGGCCCCUCUCGGGUUACCGAAUUCAGACAAACUCCGAAUGCCAAUUAAUUUAACUUGGGAGUCAGAACAUGGGUGAUAAGGUCCGUGUUCGAAAGGGAAACAGCCCAGACCACCAGCUAAGGUCCCAAAAUAUAUGUUAAGUGGAAAAGGAUGUGGCGUUGCCCAGACAACUAGGAUGUUGGCUUAGAAGCAGCCAUCAUUUAAAGAGUGCGUAAUAGCUCACUAGUCGAGUGACACUGCGCCGAAAAUGUACCGGGGCUAAACAUAUUACCGAAGCUGUGGAUUGUCCUUUGGACAAUGGUAGGAGAGCGUUCUAAGGGCGUUGAAGCAUGAUCGUAAGGACAUGUGGAGCGCUUAGAAGUGAGAAUGCCGGUGUGAGUAGCGAAAGACGGGUGAGAAUCCCGUCCACCGAUUGACUAAGGUUUCCAGAGGAAGGCUCGUCCGCUCUGGGUUAGUCGGGUCCUAAGCUGAGGCCGACAGGCGUAGGCGAUGGAUAACAGGUUGAUAUUCCUGUACCACCUAUAAUCGUUUUAAUCGAUGGGGGGACGCAGUAGGAUAGGCGAAGCGUGCGAUUGGAUUGCACGUCUAAGCAGUAAGGCUGAGUAUUAGGCAAAUCCGGUACUCGUUAAGGCUGAGCUGUGAUGGGGAGAAGACAUUGUGUCUUCGAGUCGUUGAUUUCACACUGCCGAGAAAAGCCUCUAGAUAGAAAAUAGGUGCCCGUACCGCAAACCGACACAGGUAGUCAAGAUGAGAAUUCUAAGGUGAGCGAGCGAACUCUCGUUAAGGAACUCGGCAAAAUGACCCCGUAACUUCGGGAGAAGGGGUGCUCUUUAGGGUUAACGCCCAGAAGAGCCGCAGUGAAUAGGCCCAAGCGACUGUUUAUCAAAAACACAGGCCCCUGCUAAACCGUAAGGUGAUGUAUAGGGGCUGACGCCUGCCCGGUGCUGGAAGGUUAAGAGGAGUGGUUAGCUUCUGCGAAGCUACGAAUCGAAGCCCCAGUAAACGGCGGCCGUAACUAUAACGGUCCUAAGGUAGCGAAAUUCCUUGUCGGGUAAGUUCCGACCCGCACGAAAGGCGUAACGAUUUGGGCACUGUCUCAACGAGAGACUCGGUGAAAUCAUAGUACCUGUGAAGAUGCAGGUUACCCGCGACAGGACGGAAAGACCCCGUGGAGCUUUACUGUAGCCUGAUAUUGAAAUUCGGCACAGCUUGUACAGGAUAGGUAGGAGCCUUUGAAACGUGAGCGCUAGCUUACGUGGAGGCGCUGGUGGGAUACUACCCUAGCUGUGUUGGCUUUCUAACCCGCACCACUUAUCGUGGUGGGAGACAGUGUCAGGCGGGCAGUUUGACUGGGGCGGUCGCCUCCUAAAAGGUAACGGAGGCGCUCAAAGGUUCCCUCAGAAUGGUUGGAAAUCAUUCAUAGAGUGUAAAGGCAUAAGGGAGCUUGACUGCGAGACCUACAAGUCGAGCAGGGUCGAAAGACGGACUUAGUGAUCCGGUGGUUCCGCAUGGAAGGGCCAUCGCUCAACGGAUAAAAGCUACCCCGGGGAUAACAGGCUUAUCUCCCCCAAGAGUUCACAUCGACGGGGAGGUUUGGCACCUCGAUGUCGGCUCAUCGCAUCCUGGGGCUGUAGUCGGUCCCAAGGGUUGGGCUGUUCGCCCAUUAAAGCGGUACGCGAGCUGGGUUCAGAACGUCGUGAGACAGUUCGGUCCCUAUCCGUCGUGGGCGUAGGAAAUUUGAGAGGAGCUGUCCUUAGUACGAGAGGACCGGGAUGGACAUACCUCUGGUGUACCAGUUGUCGUGCCAACGGCAUAGCUGGGUAGCUAUGUGUGGACGGGAUAAGUGCUGAAAGCAUCUAAGCAUGAAGCCCCCCUCAAGAUGAGAUUUCCCAACUUCGGUUAUAAGAUCCCUCAAAGAUGAUGAGGUUAAUAGGUUCGAGGUGGAAGCAUGGUGACAUGUGGAGCUGACGAAUACUAAUCGAUCGAAGACUUAAUCAA
rnacentral:rRNA from 1 species